UUCCUGUAUCAUGUUAAACCGAACGUACCCAACCUUAUCUGGUUUCAAAAGCUAAGCAGGGUUGGGCUUGGUUAAGACUUGGAUGGGGGAACCCUAAGGACCUCCAGGUAGGAAAGGAUC
rnacentral:rRNA from 1 species